UGCAAAUGAUGAUUAGCAUACUUUGGUCCGUGUUUCUGAUUAUAUGAUGUUUAGUAUGAUUCUGAUGCU